CACGGGGGGAGCAAGCGUUGUUCGGAAUCACUGGGCGUAAAGGGCGUCUAGGCGGUCAGAUAGGUGGGAUGUGAAAUGCCCCGGCUCACCCGGGGACCGGCAUCCCAAACUGUCUGGCUUGAGUAUGGGAGAGGAUGUGGGAAUUCCUGGUGUAGCGGUGAAAUGCGUAGAUAUCAGGAGGAACACCGGUGGCGAAGGCGCACAUCUGGCCCAAUACUGACGCUAAAGCGCGAAAGCUAGGGGAGCAAACGGG
rnacentral:rRNA from 1 species